rnacentral:rRNA from 1 species
GGCAUUAUGUUAGUCUCAAAGAUCAAGCCAUGCUUGCCUAAGUAUUAAUCGUGUAUACAGUUGAAACUGCCAAUGGCUCAUGAAAUCAGUUAUAAUUUAUUUGAUAGUACCUUACUACUUUGAUAACCGUCGUAAUUCUAAAGCUAAUACGUGCUAAAACUUCCGACUUCGGGAAGGGGGUUUAUUUAUUAGAUAAAAAAGCAAUAUCGGCCAACCGAUUGCCUUGGUGAUUCAUAAUAACUGUUCGAAUCGUUUGACUUCACGUCGACGUUGAAUCAUUCACAUUUCUGCGCUAUCAACGAUUUGGAUGGUAGAAUAGAGGCUUACCAUGGGGGUAACGGGAAACGGGGUGCUAGGGCACGCCACCGGAGAUGGAGCCUGACAAACGGCUAUCACAUCCAAAGAUGGCAGCGGGCGCGCAAUUUACCCAAUGCCGACACGGAGAGGUAGUGCCAAUAAAUACCAAUACGGGUUUCUUUCGGUUCUCGUAAUGGGAAUGAGUCCAAUUUAAACCUCUUAACGGCCUGGAACAAUUAGAGGGCAAGCCUGGUGCCACCAGCCGCGGAAAUUCCAGCCCCAAUAGCGAAUAUUAAAGGUGUUGCAGUCAAAAAGCUCUUAGUUGAAUCUCGGGGUUACUAGGUUGGUUAUGCCUCUGAUAUGUACUGUUCUCACUGACUCCUCCUUCUUGAUGAACCAUAAUGCCAUCAAUUUGGUGGUUCGGGGAAAUUGGACUGUCACUUUGAAAUAAUUAGAGUUUUUAAAGCAGGCUAACGCUUACC